rnacentral:lncRNA from 1 species
UAAAAACAAUAGUAAUUACAAACAUAUUUAACACAAAUAUUCACUGUCUUAAUUCCCAUUAUUUUUUUAAAAGAGUGAUGUAAUUAGAGAGAGGGGGUAAUAUAUAGUUUCUGAAUAGCUCCAGGUCUAAUUAAUGGCAUGCCGUCCUGGACGGACAAGGAUUUCGCGUAGAACUCGCGUACACGCGACAAGUACAAAGUUCCAGACAAGAUUGGAUAAUUUUUUUUCUCAAAUAAUAUUUAUUUAUUUUGGUUAAUAUUUAUCUUUUAAAACACGAUAUUCCUUUACCCUCUGAUAUAAAUAAUAGAAACAUGCAAUCCAUCACAUAAAUAUGUGAAGUUAUAUAUAUCAUUCAUUAUUUGGGUUCAAAAUUUUAGAUUAUUUAGCAUGAACGUGUCAUCAUGUACACACCAAGUGCCCAAACACAAACAAGAAUAAAUUUACUCCUUAGUGCAUUCACCUCAUAUUUUCCAACUUGGAAGUAUAAUAUAUUUUUUAUUACUAACACUGUUAACUUUUAGAAUGAAUGAAUCUUGUGGACUUUUGCUUACAACAUCAUGUAGACAUGUACAUUCUACACGACGCAAUAGAGAGGGAACAUCAAAAUUUUCGGCAUGUUUCACACCAGCCAAACGUAAUGGGUUAAGCUAUUAUAUCCUGACUCGUGUCGAUUACUGCUGCUGCGGGACCUAACCUCACGUAUAUCAGACAUUUACUAAUGACAAAAUGAGACUAAUAUGAAAUCACAAUAAAUGUAAAAGGAUUGACAGAUGAAGAAAAAUAAAAUUAUAUCACAAUAGGAUGCCUAGUUACCGUCUUUUGACAAACCAGCUUUAAUAUCAUCAAGUUGGGCAAAUGCAUCGGGGAUCUUUAAGUUUAGAUCUAUUAACGAGUAUUUUCGGUGCACUUUUUAAGCAUUUUAAAUUAGAUAAUUAUUCAUUAAAAAUAUUAAAGUUUUCAAUUUUCAAUGUAUUUUAUUACAUAAAAUUUCAUUAAAAUUACAAUUUAAAGUUCUUAACCAGUGUCCUGGGUACUAGUUAACAUUUUCCUUUAAGUUUUAAGUUUGUAUCAGAUUUCGUGUUUUAAAUUUUAUAUUGACCAUAUAGUUUAGGAAAAGUGUGCACGUGAUCUUUAAGUUAUAAAAUGUAUCGAGCAUUACUCUCUUUUGCAUCAAACGUGGUUAAAAAGUGUUUACAUAGAUAUUUAUUACUAAGUUUGUAGUAAAUUCACCACUCUAAAAUAUAUAGUUUAUAGGUAUUCAAUUUUGAUUUGAAACAAAAUUGAUUGAUUAAUUGAUUUAUAAUAUUGUUGAUGAAAUAUUAAUUUGUAAAAUUAAAAUUGGAAAAACAAUGAAAAAAAAAAUGUAUGCAAGUAUUCAUGUUAGGUGUUAUAAAUAUUUUUUUGAAACAUUCAUCUCAAUGUUAAAUGAUCCUGUAAACACUUAUUAACAAAGUUAAAUGAAAAAAGAUCAUUUGAAACCAAAAAAAUUAAAAUGCUAAUUUGUUCAUUUUUACUUACAUAGAUAACCAAUUUAAAACUAAAAAGAUUCAUCUAACACAAACUUUAAAUUUAAAGAACCUCGUUCAAAUAUACACUAAUUCAAAAGACCCGUGACAUGCAAGCAAUGUAGUAACUUUCUGCAUUUUAACCCAACUAGUGGUGCCAUGUUUUUCUAAAAGAAAAAAGAGGUAAACUGUCAUAUGAACUAAAAUAAU